CACGUAGGUAACCUACCCAUUGAUGGGGGAUAACCAGAAGAAAUUCUGGCUAAUACCGCAUAAGUUGGUAACAAGAAAGGAUGCUUCGGCAUUCGUCGAUGGAUGGGCCUGCGGAACAUUAGCUUGAUGGUGGGGUAAUGGCCUACCAUGGCUACGAUGUUUAGCUGGUCUGAGAGGAUGAUCAGCCACACUGGAACUGAGACACGGUCCAGACUCCUACGGGAGGCAGCAGUGGGGAAUAUUGCGCAAUGGGGGAAACCCUGACGCAGCAACGCCGCGUGAGUGAGGAAGGCCUUCGGU
rnacentral:rRNA from 1 species